rnacentral:rRNA from 1 species
GGACCCGCACAAGUAGUGGAGCAUGUGGUUUAAUUCGAAGAUACGCGCAGAACCUUACCAACACUUGACAUGUUCGUCGCGACUUUAAGAGAUUAGAGUUUUCGGUUCGGCCGGACGAAACACAGGUGCUGCAUGGCUGUCGUCAGCUCGUGUCGUGAGAUGUUGGGUUAAGUCCCGCAACGAGCGCAACCCUCACUUUUAGUUGCCAUCAUUUAGUUGGGCACUCUGAAAGAACUGCCAGUGAUAAGCUGGAGGAAGGUGGGGAUGACGUCAAGUCCUCAUGGCCCUUACGUGUUGGGCUACACACGUGCUACAAUGGUAUCUACAACAGGAAGCAAAACUGCGAAGUUAAGCAAAUCCCAAAAAGAUACCUCAGUUCGGAUUGCACUCUGCAACUCGAGUGCAUGAAGCUGGAAUUACUAGUAAUCGU